UUCAGUGUGAGCGAGAGGAGGUAGGGAAGAAGAGAAUGCUGCUGCGCUUCCGCCUUCGCUCCUCGGCGCUUGGACGAUCUCUCCGGCCCGGGUAAGUAAUCUUUUCCAGCGAGCGCUCGAUCGAUCGAUUGAUCGGCAGCAUGCAAGAGGAAAGAAAAUGCCGGUCGAUCGAUCGAAAUAUGUGGAAAUGUAGCAGAGCUUACGCUUUCUUCUUGGCAGGUGUAGCAUCGCUGGGUACGUCUCGCCAGUCGAAGAGCCUCCGCUUCUUCGCUGGGUCGCUGGCGGUGGGAUCAGGCUCAAAGGCACUGCGGCCGGGGCGAAGAAUGCGGGUAAGAAACCCAUCGCUGCCGCUAGCGCGAAGG
rnacentral:lncRNA from 1 species